rnacentral:rRNA from 1 species
GACGAACGCUGGCGGCGUGCUUAACACAUGCAAGUCGAACGCUGAAGCUCAGCUUUUGUUGGGUGGAUGAGUGGCGAACGGGUGAGUAACACGAGAGUAACCUGCCUCCUUCUUUGGGAUAACGCCCGGAAACGGGUGCUAAUACUGGAUAUUCACUGGUCUUCGCAUGGGGGUUGGUGGAAAGGGUUUUUCUGGUGGGGGAUGGGCUCGCGGCCUAUCAGCUUGUUGGUGGGGUGAUGGCCUACCAAGGCUUUGACGGGUAGCCGGCCUGAGAGGGUGACCGGUCACAUUGGGACUGAGAUACGGCCCAGACUCCUACGGGAGGCAGCAGUGGGGAAUAUUGCACAAUGGGCGCAAGCCUGAUGCAGCGACGCCGCGUGAGGGAUGGAGGCCUUCGGGUUGUGAACCUCUUUCGCUCAUGGUCAAGCCGCAACAAUGGUUGUGGUGAGGGUAGUGGGUAAAGAAGCGCCGGCUAACUACGUG